rnacentral:rRNA from 1 species
UACGGGGGGAGCAAGCGUUGUUCGGAUUUACUGGGCGGAAAGGGCGCGUAGGCGGCCACUGCAAGUCGGUUGUGAAAUCUCCGGGCUUAACCCGGAAAGGUCAAUCGAUACUGCAGGGCUAGAGUGCAGAAGGGGCAACUGGAAUUCUCGGUGUAGCGGUGAAAUGCGUAGAUAUCGAGAGGAACACCUGCGGCGAAGGCGGGUUGCUGGGCUGACACUGACGCUGAAGCGCGAAAGCUAGGGGAGCGAACGGG